rnacentral:rRNA from 1 species
UACGAAGGGGGCUAGCGUUGCUCGGAAUCACUGGGCGUAAAGGGUGCGUAGGCGGGUUCUUAAGUCAGAGGUGAAAUCUUGGAGCUCAACUCCAGAACUGCCUUUGAUACUGAGAGUCUUGAGUAUGACAGAGGUGAGUGGAACUGCGAGUGUAGAGGUGAAAUUCGUAGAUAUUCGCAAGAACACCAGUGGCGAAGGCGGCUCACUGGGUCAUUACUGACGCUGAGGCACGAAAGCGUGGGGAGCAAACAGG